rnacentral:rRNA from 1 species
UACGUAGGGGGCUAGCGUUGUCCGGAAUCAUUGGGCGUAAAGCGCGCGUAGGCGGCCAGAUAAGUCCGGUGUGAAAGUCACAGGCUCAACCUGUGAAUGCCGCUGGAAACUGUCUGGCUUGAGUCCGGAAGGGGCGAGUGGAAUUCCGAGUGUAGAGGUGAAAUUCGUAGAUAUUCGGAAGAACACCAGUGGCGAAGGCGGCUCACUGGCCCGUUACCGACGCUCAGGCGCGACAGCGUGGGGAGCAAACAGG